rnacentral:lncRNA from 1 species
CUCCCAUUGUUAUCCCUUUUUACAGAUGAGGAAACUGAGGCACAGAGAGAUUAUGUGAGUUUCCUGAGGUCACGUGUCUGGCAAGCAAGGGAGCCAGCAAACCUUUGCAAAAGCAACUCCUCCAGUCAUUGCUGUAAUGAAAAUUGGCAACUCUUGAGAAAAACUGUAACCAUUCAUGGGAGAGCACCUGCUACAUGGACCAUGAAGGCAGAGGAGCCUUUCCAGCCCAUAUAUGAUGCCAUUCUUCAAGUGCAUUAGAGGCAAUCCUGUUAAAUAUCCACAGAUUGUUUUGGCUGAUGAACUCUUUUUAGCCAACAAGGACGCCAACAAGGACAGGAUUUGGCCAGGAAUCUUGAGAACAGCAAAUUGAGAGCAACAUAGCCAUUCUCCUCAGAACUGAAGACGUUCUCUCUGCAUUUGAUAAUACUGUAAUCCAAAAAAGAAGCUGACAACACUCAGAAAAGCAGACCUGUUGAUGAUGGAGGUUGCUAGUUAGUCUCAUUGUUUUCCUUGGAUUUGGAUCAAGU